UAUUGGGUGUUAUUGAGGGAAAAUUUUGAAAAAACAACGCCCACUACGCAUGGUCUAGGAGUCAUGAUCUAAAAAUUGGGAUUAAUCGCCAAUUAAUUGACAAUUAAUUCCUAAUCUAGUAAUCAUGAUGUAAAAAUCGGGAUUAAUUGCCAAUUAAUUGAUGAAUAAUGGUCAAAAUCAGUGAAAGAUAUAUAGUCAAAAUCUUUUAAGGAUUUUAAAAAAUAUACUUAUUAAUCAGAUUCGAUUAAUAAGUUCUAAAGAUUAUGUACAAAAAUUUGUAUAUGCAUAUAUAAGUUUGAAAAAUUACAUAUAAAAUUCUUAUCCGAUUAAUCGCUAGUCAGUAUCCACAAGGUUUCGUGUUGAAGUAGAGAAAAAGAGAUAAAAUGAACUUACAGGCAUUGUUUUAUUUUGUUAAUUGCUAGUCGUACACAACUAACAGUGAGAGAGUUGUAUUACUACGCCAGAGGCGGCAAAUCCCAAUCCCAAUCAGAGGUGGUUCACGGGGUAAAUGCUUGGUUUGCGGUCAAAGCAUCAACUCAUCCUUUGCUUACUGCUCAAUGGGUUGCAAGGUUUUGUGUUCAACUAUCUCUUCCGUAACUACACUUAUAUUUAAAGUAUCAUAUUCAUAACGAAAAACAUAGCAUUUAGAUUAGAAUUCUCAGCUUCAUCCAUAUAAUUUAACUAAACUACACAUUUAUCCCCCUCUUAAAUUCCUCAUACCCAUCUCUAUUCAAUUAGUAAUGAUAUUCAUUUUUAAUAUUUUUUUUUAAAUGGUUGCGAGUGAGGGAGACAGGAAAAGGUAAUGAGUGAGUGAGGCAAAUACACAUCCCCAUUAAAAUCACCAAUGCAUUUUGAGCUUAUUGUUAGUGGAUCAGAGUAGAUCAGAGAAGAACUCUACAACUAAGCAUGUCCAGGUGGAAUUAAUAACAAGAGAGGAGACUUCUUGGGAAGUCUCCAUUUAGGCAACAAAAAACAAAUACGUGAUUAGUUGAUAAAACGGACAAUUUAAGUACAGUAGACCAGAUAUUACACUUGUAAACCAUGAACAAAAAAAUGAAGCCUAUUAAGUAGGGAUGCAAAUUAACUGAAGGUACACAAACACUUACCGAACGAGAUAAAUGUUUAAAUGUUUUCACGUUCAGUUCAAUUACUUAAGGCUGCAAAUUAAAGACGAAGCCAAUAAAGAAAGUAUCAUUUAACAUCUUUAAGCCAUUUUUGUUCGUUGUUAAGGAAAUAAAGGUGUUCAUGAAUUGUUCACAAACAUUUACCAAUUGAAAUUUUCUUUUCGUGUUUUUAAUUAAGGAAAUGAAUGGGUUCGUGUCUAUUCACUAAUUUUUGGUAACAAACACAAAAAAAAAAAAAAAAAAAAAAAAAAAAAGGUUCAUGAACAAAAAGAUUUCGAUUUGCGUAAGGUUGUGAACGCCUCUACACUCGGUAAAAGAAACUUCCGUUUUAAAUAUUAAUAUUUUUCUGUCCAAAACAAAUAAAUUGUUAAAAAGGUAUGUGACAUACAAUACAGUAAUAUAUAUGUUAAAUAUUUUAUUGGUGGAAAUUUUACAGUAGUAAAAUGAUACAUUAAAAUAAAAAACCCUAAUGAGCCUUCAAAGUUCAAACACUAAUGAACACAUUUCCUAACGUUCUCGAACAUACAUGCAUAACAAAGAACACUUGUGCUUUCUAGUUCAGUGCGGUUAG
rnacentral:lncRNA from 1 species